rnacentral:lncRNA from 1 species
UUUCUGGACAGUCACAAUUUUAUGUUAGGAAAAACUGUAUGUAGUCACUGUCUGUAACGUUUUAAUCAACAGCAGAUGAACACGGAAAUAAUAAAAUAAAUUCCUUAAGCUUGUUAUCGAUUGUCCGUAUUCAAAGCAACGUGAAACUGGAAACCAGUAAGAAGAAGAGACAGAACGUAUGUAACGUUAAAAAAAAAAAACACAGAAAUGAAGAAAUCCGAGACCACAGAAUUCACUGUGUGUCCUUAAGGAAUUUAACCCCCUCACUGUACCUGAGGUUGUGGAUUAUUUCCUCCCAGGAUAUAACGGAUAUACCUGUCGUAGGAGUGGCGGUACCUCAAACGCCUACGACUUCGACGAACUCAAAUUCGNNNNN